rnacentral:misc_RNA from 1 species
AUCGAUCGAUUGUUAGGCCCAUUUCGAUCACUAAUGUACAGUCAAUGGCGGCAUGGCGGAGACGCACAUUGGAACUUUAAGUGGCUGCAUGUGCGAAUUGAUGUUGCGUUGCAUGUGGGAGGCUCCGUUGGUAAUGUUCGCAGACUGGUCAUUUGAUGAUACGUGUGAACAGUGGUAGUUCUUGGGUGCCUCAUUAGGGAAUCGCAGAACAGAGCCGUAGAGCUAAAAGUCAUAGAAGAUUUUUAAAUUGUUACUUGAUUUUGUGUUAUUUCAGCAGUAGUAUGUCCUUCAACUAUCUGUUAUGUCCAAACAUGGAAUGAGUCGCAUGUGACUAAGUCAACCAAAUGUGGCAACAACAAUUAGUCAGCAAUGGAAUUAGUCAGUGGAAAACAACACAUUCAUUCCUUAGGACGGUUUUGAGUUUAUCUAUGCUUAUUGUCAACUGGAAGGAUUCCUCUUUUUCACAGAACUUUAACCAUUUUCAUGGUAUACUUAACUGCUUGUCAGCAGAUUGUCACUUGGCAUCAUUUGAAUGGUAUGGUCCAUAUCAGCAGUGUUAUGAUGCACUUCUUAAAUACACCAAUCCCUCAGAAAAUAUUCUAAUUGAAAUUAUGGAAAUUUCUGCCCUUCAUGCAGAACUGCACAAUGAUGGGUUCGUAUAAACAAGCUUGAAAUGACAAACCAACCGUUUUUUUUGGUUUGGCUUACACAUGCAGCUCCAUGACAUGUUGAUGUUAGCUAAAUUGUUAGUAAUCAUAGGGGUUGGUAGUAUGAAAUGAAAUAUCUUCUCUUGGAUGUUUGUGUCUAUUUAUUUGUUUGAGAUUACUCUUGAUGCAGGAAGCUUUUCCUGCUUCUUACGAAAAGGGACAUUGGAUGCCUUAAUGUCUAAUACCAACCAAGUGCCAUUGCAAAGAUAGGUCAAAGAUAUAUUAAUAUAGAUUACACUCUUGAGUUAUGGUGACUUAUGGUAUUUUACUGAUGUCUAUUGGUUUUAUUUGUGGAAAGAAUAUCUUGAGCGGGAGAAUUGGAUCACAAUUGACUAGGUAGAAUAAUCGCAAUGUCGUGGUAGUAAUUCGCGAGAGAUAUGCCAAUGGGGUUUCGCUGUUUUCAAUUCGCAAUCGUAAUGGAUUUGAAGAGGAUAUUGAUGGAGUUUUGGUAUAAAAAAGUACAUGUUCGUUGGAAGGGCACCGAAGAGUUCCGGAUCCUUUUACUAUCGCACAUGUUAUGUGCGUGUAAAACUAAAGGCUGAAAGAAGAAGAAUGAUUCAAAAACUGUGGGAGAGAAUCAUCAAAGAAUUAUACUCGUUUAGGUAAUCCUUUCGGAUUCGAUUCCGCCGUUUGUGCUGCCCUUUUCUAUAAAGCACUUCUACAGAGUGAAGACUCGUCGCGAGUGCAUAACAUCCAUAUCGGUAACGGUUUCCUGCGUAAAGACGAAUCCGAGCAAGUCGUCACUAGUUUACAGCAACUCGGGCUCAAUCUUCGGAGUUCUUUUCCAGACAGUGGCUUCUCAUUUCUAUUGUCAUACCAGCGAUCAGAUUUGAUGUUUCGAAUUGUUUUGGGUUGCCAAAGCAAGAUUGACUUUCUACGAUGCUUACACCAACGUGCAUGGUCGCCAAACUUUGUCGUUGUGUCGGACUGUAAAUCCGGAAGAUAAAUGUCGAAUUAUUGGCGAUAUGUUUGUCAAAGUGAUAGAUAGAACGGCUAACGAUUUAAAUGUCACUUGGGAUAAUCUACUUCUCGGACAAGCUAUCAAAAUCUUGAAGAAAUGAGGAAGUAGAAAAAUUAUAUAUAUAUAUAUAUAUAUUUUUUUUUUUUAUGGCGAAACCGGUUGCCGCAACAGCUGACAUUUCCCGUAUAUUUUCAAGACAUCUAGGGGAGAAAUAACUAACUCCGUAGAAUUUUCAAUGGUAUGUCAGCUGUCCCGUCAGCUGUUUCAUUUCGCGUGGCUUUGGACAGAGGAUGGCUGCUGAAACGAACGUCUCUUCUUGAAAUUUUACCACUGAUUCCGUGUAUUUUGAGUUGCAUCUUGUGAAUUCAAUCAAUGCAGAGUUGUUCAAGGAGCAACAUGGCUUGGCUUUGCUAGCACGUUUUUCAUCUCCGUUAGUCUGAUAUAGAUCUUAUUGCAAUUCAAAAGUACGCGACAAGCCAAAAGUCGUGCGCAGCUUACGCGGAUGCGCACCACUGUGGCCUAUAGCUGAACUAAAAAUUGUUUUAUGCUUGACUAUAACCAUUCGUACGAUGCUUUACCGUUAAGCAGACAGAUCGCACUCAUGGUCAUGGAAUCUGCAAGUUUGUUUUCAUUUUAAAAAGUAAACUGUGAUGUAGUUUCAUAAUGAGCGGCAGUCGAGUCACUCGAGUGUCAUAUAAACUAUCCGAAUUAGCCAAAAGUUUACCUGAGGUUGAAUUUAAAUCAUACUGUGAAAAAAUUGAAGAACUGAAAUGUAAUGAUCCUCUUGUAAUUGAUCUACAUUUAUACAAA